rnacentral:misc_RNA from 1 species
CAAUACAUUUCACCCAAUUGAUUAAGCUAAUGUACAAUGCAAUAUGGUACUAUACCACCAAGAUAAAAGAUAUAAUUUAAACAAUCAAACUUCAACAUGUUCCCCAAAGUACUUGUGUAAAUUUUGAAAGAUGGCCAUACACACUGAGGAAUUCGACUUACGGACCUCUUCCUUUCAUGCUGUUUACACUUAUCGUCAUCAUCUUAUAACUCACUGGGGCUAAACUUGAUAGACGAACCGCGGCGUUGGCCACCUACGAUCACAUCUUUAAGCCGAGUUAUUGGUCCCAGCACUCGGUUUGUCUUCUGAUCAUUCACACUAAUAUGCCAUUUCAGUUGUAGAGUCUGCCAACUUUCCUGCUGCCAGCGUUGCCCAAGUAUUACAAGGCCCAUAACAGCUGCUGCAAUGAAAAUUGACCAAAAUGCUUUUGCUUCUUUUGCAUGAGAGUAUAAAUUAGCAGCUCUUCUCUUCCACCAAGCACCGCAAGGAAGACUGGAUUUAUUGCUUUUGCUAUCAACCUUGGGAGUUUGUAAGCUUUCUGGAUUUGAG